CGGCGGGCUGGAGCGUGGACAUGAGGAGCUGAAUUCGAAUGUGUCCUGGGUUUGCUGCAUUACAGCAGUUCCUGCUUCAGUUAGAUCAGAACCUUCCCUGCUAAUUCAUCAUGACAUAACCAACCAGCCACCUCCCACUGCAUAGUUGGAUAAGCUUCUUGUUUCGCAUUGUUCCAAGCACAUGUGAUUCAAGGCCUUCAUCAUCCACCUAGUCUGGUACAGGUUGUCUCUUGACCUUGCCCCAUUGCCAUUCACACUCUGGACCUAAUUUCAGACUGGGUGUGGAUAUAGGGAAUACAAGAAACAGUUCCCUAUUCUGGACUGAUGCUCUUCUCCAAACUGGGAUGGGAAGAAAAUAUAAAAUCACUGCCAACAAAAUAUGCAGGUGGUGGAGUGGCAAAUAAUGGUGGGGAUAGGUCAGUUAUACAGAUCAGUCUGGAUUGUUUGGCAAAAUGUGCCAUUUGAACACCGUGCAUUUUAAUACAGCAAUCUACAGCAUCAUACAUUUAGAAACAAAGAAUGAAUAUCACACUUACCAGACGGAGUGCUGUGUCCUGCAGUGCAGCAACAGAAGAAUUUAGGUGUCAUGGUAGAUAAUCAACUAACUUGAGCUCCCAGUGUCAUGCUGUCGCUAAGAGGGCAAAUACAAUCUUUUGAUGUAUAAGCAAGGUUUGUAAUAAUACCUCUGUGUAUGGCAUUAGUGAGACCAUUACUGAAUAGUGCAUCCAGUUCUAAUGUCCACACUUCAAAAAGGAUAUUAAAAAAUUAGAAAGGGUUCAGAAAAUAGCAACAAGGAUGAUUUAAGGUCUGGAAAACCAAUCUUAAUAGUGAGAGACUAAAGAAACUCAAUCUAUUAAGUUUAUCCAAGAGAAGGUUGACAGUGAAUUGGUCACAUUCUGUAAGUAUCCAUAGGGAAGAGAUUUUGAUAAUAGAUGGCCUUGAAUUGAACAGAAAAAGGCAGAAUGAACUCCAAUGGGUGGAUGCUGAAGUUAGACAAAUUUGGAUUAGAAAUAAGGUAUGCAUUCUUUACUGGAAUGGUAAUUUAUGGAACAGUUUACUGGAGGAUGUGGUAGAUUCUCCAUUACUUGAAAUUUGUAUAUCAAGUCUGGAUCUCUUUCUAAAUGAGAUGCUAUAUCUUAAAAUGAACUUAUGGGCUUGAUGCAGAAACUACUGGGUAAGGAUAUUUGGCCUGUGUUAUGCAGCAUGUCUGAUUAGAUAAUCAUAAUGAUCCCUUCUAGUUUGAAAAUCCUCAUUUACAGAUAAACAGCAUCCCCAGGAGCUUCUGGACUGGCCAGAUAUACUAGUAACCCCCGCCUCAGUACCUGAAACAGGCCAGGAAAUAGGUGAUCUAGUGACCUACUAAGAUUGCUCAGUAACCACAGCCACUGACCCGCAGGCACCAAUGUGCCUGCUCCAUUCCCAUCCCUGAGGUCCCCAUGGUUCAGGGAUAAGCUGUGACAUGAAAAGCAUGAAGGAACAAGACCUGUGGUUGGGAAAUAUGCAACACACCCCGCCCCAUUCUUUGUGGCUUUUCCAUCCUAUUUAAAAAAAUAUUUUCCCUCUGUUACUGCACAAGAGAGUGAGUGACUGAUUUGCUAACUGGCUCUGCCUAGGGUAGGGGACACCUGGCCGGCCAACCAACCAGCUCUACACAAAAUGCAGGCUAACGCCAAAUUUUCUGCAAUUUUGGUUAGUUGCAGAGGGAAUGGAAGACAAUACCAGGACAGUAGCAGGAAAGAUUUUCAGAUAUGUUUUUUAAAUUAAAUCUCUCUCUCUAAAUUUAGAUACCAAAAAUAGCUGUAGGGAAUAAUCUGGCACAUUUAGUAAACUGCCCAAAAUUGGAUCUGAAGAACAGGAAUGGGGAUGAGGGUAUCCUGCCUGUAUAGUUAUGGGGCUUUGAUCUGUUAUGUAAAAUCCCUUCCAGGCUUUAGGCACUCUAAGGUCGUCAAUACCCUGAAAUGUUCUCAGGACAUUGUUCCCUGGCCUUAGAAAGCAAUGACAGCAUCUCCUCGGCAAUGGGAAAGGUGCUCUAUUUCCAUGGGAACAGACUUGUGAGAAGCACUUCAAUGGGAAGCCUCUGUGUGGAAGCUGACAGCCCAAGCUCUUUGUUUGACCUGCCUGAAUCUAAGAACUUUGUACGCUCUGGGUAUGUUUGUGGUGCAGUUAAACACCUAAGGCUCGCUUGUCAGCUGACUUGGGCCAUUUCACUGUAGUGUAGAUGU